rnacentral:tRNA from 1 species
GAUCCGCUAGCUCAGGCGGUAGAGCAACUGCCUUUUAAGCAGUGGGUCCGGGGUUCGAGUCCCCGGCGGGUCACCA